rnacentral:rRNA from 1 species
UGCCACAGCCAUAUCACCCUGAAGCCCAAGACCAGUUACUCACGGAAGCUAAGCAGGGUUGAGCCUGGUCAGUACCUGGAUGGGAGACCACAUGGGAAAGCUAGGUUGCUGUUGGAA